AUUGAACGCUGGCGGCAGGCUUAACACAUGCAAGUCGAGCGAGCGGCGGACGGGUGAGUAAUGUCUGGGGAACUGCCUGAUCGAGGGGGAUAACUACUGGAAACGGUAGCUAAUACCGCAUACUAUCCGAUGAACCCAUAUGGGAUUAGCUAGUAGGUGGGGUAAAGGCUCACCUAGGCGACGAUCCCUAGCUGGUCUGAGAGGAUGACCAGCCACACUGGAACUGAGACACGGCCCAGACUCCUACGGGAGGCAGCAGUGGGGAAUAUUGGACAAUGGGCGCAAGCCUGAUGCAGCCAUGCCGCGUGUGUGAAGAAGGCCUUAGGGUUGUAAAGUACUUUCAGCGGGGAGGCGUUACCCGCAGAAGAAGCACCGGCUAACUCCGUGCCAGCAGCCGCGGUAAUAC
rnacentral:rRNA from 1 species